CACAGUAACAAACAUUAACUUCUCCUUUACUCACUUCCUUCCAAUUAGACCUGAAGAAAUAAUACUCUGAGUGACAUUCCAAUAUGAGAAGGAGAAAAACAUUCCCACACACUGCAGAUUGUCUAAAUCUGGCUUAACUCCCCAAUCAUGGACUACAACACACGAUACAAAGAACACAGAAACACCCUUCAGUUGAGGCCUGGAAACAGUUGUCAAAGCUGCUGAAGAAACUGUUUCCAAACCUUAUUCCGAUAUAGCCUAUGGCAAACAAUCACCCCUUCAAAUUCCAUCCCAGCAGAACAAAACUAACACCAGACCAGUACAGGGGUCUCCUCUGUUCAUGCUCUUAGUAAGAUUUUUGGUAUCUCUAGACAGUCUGAGCUCAGAUAUUUUAAUAAGAGACACAAACAUUUUGAGCAAAGACCGUACCAUUAUAAUUUAAAUAUCAGAUAAACGACACAAAAAAAAAAGAAGAUCCAAAGCAUUAAAUAGAGAGGGAUACACUGAGGAUUGCUUCACUGGUAGAGACAGAAGACCUCUGAAGGAAUUACUUUUGCUGCUUAUUUGCAAGGCUUGUUAAAGCACAGAAGGCAAAAUGAUGGAUUGCACAAUGCUGGUAUUGGUGAGCAGGAUACCAAGGCAAAAGUAGGGUGAAAACAGGAGGAAGAAGCAUCGGAGCGCAGGCAACGUACCCGGCUCUGAAACAAGACGGACAGAGCAGAAUGUGAGACUACAGGGCAGCAGCCAACAGCAGACUGCGAUUCAGAGCCAGCUACAAAACCACUGUGGGGAAACACUGCUGUUCAUGGCACUUCCAGCCUUACUGGAUCCAGUGGGAAUAAUCUCACAGGUAGGGACAUUCAUAAGGGCUUCCGCUGGUUUUGGAUACAUCACCAAACGGUGCAGGAUCACAUAAAGGAGGAGGAAAGAGGGGGAACCAGGAGGGUUGCAGCCUCAGGUUGUAGAAACUAUCACAUUUAACAUCUCCCGGAGAAGAAUUUAAAGAGUGCGAGAGUGAAUAGAACAGUACCUUGAUCUUCUUACUACAUUUUAUGGACUGAAAGGAAAGCACCCAGCAGUGGCAUCAGAGGCAAGAGGAUCAAAUGAACAUUUCUUGUAUUCUCAGCACUUGUGCUUUCUGAAUCCAAGAAGUCUCUUUAGGUGCUUCCUUCUGCCUGAAAGAUUCCAGGCUGUAUUCUAGCAGUGCCGCUCAUCUGUUAGUGACGCAGUGAUUACAUCCACCACAUAAAGUCCCCUUCCACUUACUGCAAGCAGUGCUUCUGGCAGCUACCACCCAUCCUCACAACCCACAUUAAUUCAGCAAACAUUCCCCUUUCCAUCUCUCCCUUUCUUCUCAAUACACAAAUUCCCUGUGGGAUUGGGUUGCAGGGACUAUCAGAACCAAGGAAGCCUGUCACGAUGCUGCAGCAGAGGAGACCUUGCGGUGGGAGAGUGGUUAUAUUUCACAUUUUUGGUCACAGGAAAACAUUGCCAGCCCUAAAUCCCGCUUUGUCUCCAUACACAGGUCUACGCAGAAAUACUUUCAACCUCAUUUGGAAAGAGCUUUUUUCUAGCCCAGGACUCCUUCAAAUCAACGUGCAGUUAUUCUCCUGUGACAGAAACAUGGGACUCUUCAUCUGCUGAACUUUAAACAUCCAUGCAGUGUUGGCAGGACUGGGACUGGCGUUUGGAAACACUGGAGGGAUAAAUGCUUAAAGCAGAUUUAAUGUUUCCCAUUAUAGGGACCACUAAACCAAAGCUUAAAGAGCUUUUAGGCAGUUGCUCUACCUUUGAUGUAAUAAGGGGUGGCUUCUCAAAAAUGCACAAAAGCAUGUUUCCUCUUGAUAUUUGGGGUUUAGAAAUUAAAUAGCCCCCUGCACUGCUUAAACUGCUACUGCACACCUUCUGCUUGCCUUCUGUUUUACAGAAAUGAAUCCACAUUACAGUGAGUGAUGAAACUCUCCUUCUCUAAAAAGAAAUCACCUAACAUCGACCAGUAACAUUCACUAGAAAACAGGCAGGAAAAUCUGACACAUCCUGACACCCAGCCCUUUAGUGUUGCAUUGCCAUUUCUUGCUUUAAUUCACUUUAGUCCCAAACACUUUUAGGCUACGGCUUAAAGCUACACCAGCUCAAAAACAUGCAUCCAUGGUCAAACAACCUCCACAGCCUCGACCGGUUUUAACAUCCACUUUUAACAUGCCACUCUUCUCCUUGUGCUGCCUGUGAUGGGAGUCACAAAACCUUAUGUCUGGCUGUGUGCAUUACGUCCUUGAAUUCUCUGGCAUCAAUGCCUAAAUAAUUAACUCCUUCAUUAAGUAGGUUUGUAACUCAAAAGAAAAUAAGAACUUGCAUAGAAUCAAGAGUGAUUUGAGUUAAAGGCUGGUAAUGUUACUAGAAAAAAGCUCUUACGCCUGGCAGUGUGUGUUCCAACCUCCCAGAUCUGGUUUAGAUUUCUGACGAAGCAGUUUUCCACUGGAAAAUGCUGAAUUCAUGAAAUCAUGAUGGUUGUCAGGAACGUUGACUUAAUCAAAGCUUGAUGAAAAAAUGUCUGAAGCCCUUCAUUGAGGAAUGAAUGCGUGUUGCUCAAAGGAAACACUCCCAAUCUCACUGAAACAGAACUGAAGAACUGUUCCUUGGAAAACCAACCUUUCCCACUCUUCCAGCUCAGCAGAGGACACAGCCUACCUCCCAAGGGGAUUUUAAGCAGCUAAUUAUUGAUUUUGUACCAUAGGAAAUCCACCAAAACCCAACUGAAAACAGCGCCACAAAUCCAUCUGUGGGUUCUGCAGAGAGCAAGAGAGGUUACCAACUCUUAUCAUUCUUUCCCAUGCUGCACUACAUCUCGCACAGCUCCGGGAACGCUUUUCUGCAUUACUGAAAUACAAACCCUCACGCUUCCUGAGGUUAAAUAGACACGAAGAAUAAUAUUACAUUAAAUGAAGGAAGACAAAAUACAGUAUUUAAGAGGAAAUCAGAAAUACAAAUGCUUUAAAUCUUCACCGCUGUUUUAAACUUCCUAAGGAAGGCUGCAACCAAGAGAACCUUGUUUUCCAGAGUAUUAUGAAUUUUAAUCUUGGAAUUUCCCCCUUUGUACUUCUUUAAUGGGUCACAGAAAUUAUAGUAAACAAUUAAAUUUGAUAUUCAAAAUGAUUCUUGCACUUGUUUGUGAUAAAUUGAUGCAUUAGACAACAACACACGACCAGCUCAUGCUGCUGUUCUAGAAGUGUCAGGAGGCUGAGUACCACCAUCCUCUGAGAGCUACUGGCUGCAGAGGAAAAAGUCUGUGUUUAUGAAGCCAACUGAAUCACAGAAUCAUGGAAAGGUUUGGGUUGGAGGGGACCUCAAAGUCUAUCCAGUUCCAGCCCUGCCAUGGGCAAGGACACCUCCCACUGGAUCAGGGGGCUCAGAAAUGUUUUGGGCUCUCAGUUAAAAUCCUAAAGUGAAUACUCGCUGCAUAAUUUCAGCUACUGAUCCCCCAAACUCCCUCUGCUGCUGGGAAUGUGCCCAAGUGUCCCAGCACAGAAAGCCGUGUUUCAAUUACCCUGGUGCAUACGAAGCCCCUAUGCUAAUUCAAUUCGCUCAAAUGCUGAUGAAUACCUGUCACGUCUGCCUCUGGUUACUCUUGUAAGCUGUAAAAGGCAAGGAAAAAGCUUUUGUUCUCCCUACAAACACACGCUCAGAGCUUUUCAGCAGUGUCAAAGAAGAGCUACCUCCCUCAACAUUAACAACUGUUCUUCAGUAAAUGAGUAGCCAGCUACAUUGCAGAGAUUUAAUUAUGGGGUCCAAGAGAAUCACCAUGUGGGUGGCUGACGCCUCCUCUUUGAACGGCAAACACGCCGCUAACUUUUCCUCCUCCAGAAGUGCUACGUGCAACCAGCCAAGCGCAGCGUUAUCUGCUUGCUCCUGCACUUUGGCAUCUGCCUUAAAGGCCAGCCUCUUGUCUCUGUGGCCUCCCUCUUCUGCAGAUAGUGAUCUGUCCCUCUGGCAGAACAUACCGUUAAAUUAAAUGUCUUAUUUCACGUCAGGGGAUCCCUAAGCAGGACUGCCCUGGCCUUCUCUUUGCUGUAAAAUACUUUUGGGAAGCAUAGAAUGCACAGACAGUGAAAGAUUAACCUGAAAGCCCCAAGGACCUUCUCUCUCAUCAGGAGGCAACAGGGUUUAGUUCCUUCACUCCUGUCACAAGCCGAUGGGUGAUGGACUUGCACCUGCCCUGUGGGAAGCGUAUGCUGUCCCCAGCAUCCUGAAAUAAAGCCUUUUUGUUUAUCUAGCAAAUCAAAACCAAGUGUUAACAGGGUAAUUUUAUCAACUAUUACCUUCACUUACGAGCUUGGUGAGCUAUAACCAACGGAAUCUCCUCCCCAGAGCAGAAGACUGACAUAGACUGAGAUAUAUUCACCCUCCCAGGAUUUAAGGGUAUUUACAGUGACUGCGUAAUUUUGUGAUGUUUUUAAAACAAUACAAAACUCUGCUACUUUCAACCUCACCUGCAAGACCUGAAUCCUCUCGAGGCCUGCAGAAAGCAGCUCUGUUUCCCGAUUUACUACUCUAACGAUUAUCAGUUCCCUCAACACAACUUUACCAAGAGUUAUUGUCAAAACCCCGC